rnacentral:lncRNA from 1 species
GGAAAACGGCGCCGCGCCGAAUGGCUUCUGCUACUGACUCGUUCACCAGCGGCGGCUCAGCGGCUGUGGGGCUGCCGCGGUCGCCGCCGCUGAAGGUGCUGGCGGAGCAGCUGCAACGCGACGUGGAGGGCGCCCCAGGCGCAUGGCGGCUGUCGCGGGGAGGCGACGGGCCGCGCGCCCCUGGAGCUGGCGGCCGUGUGGAUGCAGGGCACCAUGGUGGAGGUGGGCCGCUGCGAGGCACGGCUGCGGGACCCGAGCGGGGCCUUCUCUUGUGUGCGGCCUGGAGCGGGUGCCGCGAGGGCGGCUUUGUCUGGUCCCAGGUAACACCCGGCCUCAUCCCGCUCGCGAAGGCGGGCUCGGAUCCGGCCAGGGGGCUAAGGGUGAGUCGCGCUCAGGAACGGGGCCUGCCUGUCACCUUCGGCCUCCCCACAAACACAGGUGGCCCCACGCGAUGGGUGUGGGCGUCACCCGCAGCCCCUAAAGAGAGACACGGAUUCCUGGGACUCGGCAGGCCCCCUAGUCCUGAUCCCAGGCCUUCUGUGUUUGUCACAAGCUCCCCUCCCCACGGUUUUCAUUUUUUCUCAUUAAGUUUUGGGAAAUACUGCCCUAGGAGACGCCUAUACAUCUUUAAUAUCCCAACUAAAGCACACCUUCCUUGGGGGAAGCUGCUGGGACCCCCGAGAAAGGGGGACCCUCCUGUCCCUGUCCUUUGAGACACUGUCCUAAUUCACUCAUGCCUCUCCUGCACACAGCUGGUCCUGAAUGAGACCUAAGCACAUCAGGCUCACCUGGGGGACAUGGAAAAGCCCAGGGUUUCUGUGUCUAAAGUGGAGGGGAGGCUGAGAGGGUGUGUUUCCAGUCAGCUCCAGUCACGGUCUUGGCUGUGUGGUUCUCACAGCAGCAACUCAGCAUCUGGCCCCGUGCCUGACUCAUAGACCUCCAAGAACCAGUGACAGCACUGGGCAUCAGGAUCUCAUCUCACUCAUUCGCUGAUUGCCAGCGUCACUUGUGCAGUAGGCCUGUGUGAGGCACCUGGGCUGCAGCCAACACCCAGAGAGGAAAGUAUGUGAUGGUGAUGGGAGUGGUGCAGGCCUUGUAGCCCCGAGCCGUGCCUUCAAGCUGUGAAGAUGACAGAUCUUUCCGAUAAUCCCGUCCACGAAAGCAUGUGGGAACUGGAAGUGGAGGAUUUACACAGGAACAUUCCUUAGGUGACACUGGAACUGGCAUUACAAACAACCUUCCCCCCGUAAUGAUCUCAGUUCUGACUGUGUGGGUUCAUGGACAUCUCUCAUGUAUAUUUUAUUGACAUUGUGUAUUUCUCAAAAGAGCCACAGAGAGAACUGCUUUGGUUGACGCAGGGGUCUGGAUGCAGGGAUUUUUAAGGGUUAGGAGGCUGCAGUUAACUCGGCCUCCACUGUCUCUUGCUUUGACUGUGUUUGCUAAUGAAAAGCAGAUGCUGGGAUUACAAACGUACACCACCAUGCCGGGCACAUUCAGCUCUCUUUGUGCUUCAGAUCCCACCCAGAUAUUGAGGAUCCAUUUCGGUUAGCUAGCUUCCUUCACAGGGCAGGGGGCAGUUUUAGAUGUUGUCAGAAUUUCUCUUUGAAAUUAAAAAACCGAGAAUGAGAACAACUUUCAUUACUUUACCUAAACUUCUGUUUCAUAACUGUCAAGACACAGCAAGGAAGCAAUCUCCUGGUUUAGAGUUCUUACAUCUUUUUGUAUGGAAUGAAUUGUGUUAUGAUUGUAUUGAAUGUUGGAUUUCUGUUCCCUAUUUCUUUAUUACACAUGCUGGAUUUAUCGUUAGAGUAUAAAUACCAAGGAAGUCAUACUGUAUUCCAACAUUGCAGUAGAGUUUUGCCUGAAUUAUUGAUACUGUACCACUAAUAAAAUUUUAUGUGCUGUAUUUUUUAUUUUUUAUUUUUAUUUUUUUUUUUAUUUUAUUUUAUUGGUACCAGGGAUCGAACUAUGUGCUGUAUUUUUUAAAAAUAAACUUUAUCUUUAAAAACAGUUUUGGGUUUGCAGAAAAAUCAAGCAGAAAGUAUAUAUACGUUUCCAUAUGCCCCACACUGUCCUCCCCAGCUUCUAUUAUUAACAUCCGUUAGUGUGAC